CGGAACAGGCGGCCGCUGGUUGCCGGCGUCGGCCGGAGGCCUUGCGUCUUCGUUCGAUGGCCGGCGACGGGAGGAAAGUCCGGGCACCGCAAGACACGAUGGUGGGUAACGCCCACCGGCCGAAAGGCUAGGGAAAGUGCAACAGAAAGUAAACCGCCUCGUCGCGGGCUUGUCCUGCGGCGCGGUAAGGGUGAAACGGUAGGGUAAGAGCCUACCAGCAGGUCGGGCGACCGGCCUGGCUCGGCAAACCCCAUCGGGUGCAAGGUCAAAUAGGGAGCAUUCUGCCGGUGUUGAGCCGGCGGAGCGGAUAGUCUUGGCCGCUAUCGACUCCCGGGUAGGCCGCUCGAGGCGGCGAGCAAUCGUCGUCCUAGACAAAUGGUCGCCGUCCUUCUCCGGUGUAAAUCGGCAGUGCCGUUGU
rnacentral:RNase_P_RNA from 1 species